rnacentral:rRNA from 1 species
UACGAAGGGGGCUAGCGUUGUUCGGAAUCACUGGGCGUAAAGCGCACGCAGGCGGAUUGAUAAGUCAGGGGUGAAAUCCCGGGGCUCAACCUCGGAAUUGCCUUUGAUACUGUCUGUCUUGAGUUCGGGAGAGGUUGGCGGAAUUCCUAGUGUAGAGGUGAAAUUCGUAGAUAUUAGGAAGAACACCAGUGGCGAAGGCGCAACUUGGCCCGAUACUGACGCUCAUGUGCGAAAGCGUGGGGAGCAACAG